UACGGAGGAUGCAAGCGUUAUCCGGAAUGAUUGGGCGUAAAGGGUCCGCAGGUGGCAGUGUAAGUCUGCUGUCAAAGAAUGAGGCUUAACCUCAUCAAGGCAGUGGAAACUACACAGCUAGAGUACGGUCGGGGGUAGAAGGAAUUCCUGGUGUAGCGGUGAAAUGCGUAGAGAUCAGGAAGAACACCGGUGGCGAAAGCGUUCUGCUAGACCUGUACUGACACUGAGGGACGAAAGCUAGGGGAGCGAAUGGG
rnacentral:rRNA from 1 species